GUGGGGGAUAUUGCACAAUGGGGGAAACCCUGAUGCAGCAACGCCGCGUGAGGGAAGACGGUUUUCGGAUUGUAAACCUCUGUCCUUAGUGACGAUAAUGACGGUAGCUAAGGAGGAAGCCACGGCUAACUACGUGCCAGCAGCCGCGGUAAUACGUAGGUGGCAAGCGUUGUCCGGAAUUACUGGGUGUAAAGGGAGCGUAGGCGGGAAGGCAAGUCAGAUGUGAAAUCCACAGGCUUAACCUGUGGCGUGCAUUUGAAACUGUUUUUCUUGAGUGAAGUAGAGGCAGGCGGAAUUCCGAGUGUAGCGGUGAAAUGCGUAGAUAUUCGGAGGAACACCAGUGGCGAAGGCGGCCUGCUGGGCUUUUACUGACGCUGAGGCUCGAAAGCAUGGGUAGCAAACAGGAUUAGAAACCCCUGUAGUCC
rnacentral:rRNA from 1 species